AAAAGACACAGACCCUCACCCAAAAAAAGAAUGAGGUGUGCUGGAGAUGUUACUGCCCUCACAGAGACGACACAGGUCAACCCAAGACAGGACAUGAGUGACAAUGAAAGAGAAGGUCAGGGUGUGGAGGAGCCUCCAGAUGAGGAGCGCCGGCCUGUGGAGCAGCCUCCCCCAAUGGAAGGUGGACAAGACGAGCGAGAUGAAAGAUUGAGAAAUCAACAAGCACAAAUCGAAU